UACGUAGGUGGCAAGCGUUGUCCGGAUUUACUGGGCGUAAAGGGCGUGCAGGCGGUUUGUUAAGUGCAGGGUGAAAGCUCCCGGCUCAACUGGGAGAGGUCCUUGCAUACUGGCAAACUCGAGGGAGGCAGAGGAAAGUGGAAUUCCCGGUGUAGUGGUGAUAUGCGUAGAUAUCGAGAGGAACAUCGGUGGCGAAGGCGGCCUUCUGGACGGUGACUGACGCUGAGAUGCGAAAGCGUGGGGAGCAAACAGG
rnacentral:rRNA from 1 species